AUGUUUAUAAAAACACACUUUGGCAGCUACUGUGACAAGGUGAAGAAAGUGCAAUUCCAAAAGGAACAACACAUAACCAAAGUGGGGAACAGAAAAAGGCAGAGCUGUGCCCUCUGUGGGCCCUGCAGCCCUCCUCACCACAAAGCCUCCCCAGAGCACACCCGGGACGCAGGAGCAAAGGCCCAAGAUGCCUUCACCGACCGAGCCACAUGGCUGGACUCUCAACUCAGUGAUGGGCAUAAAAGCAGGUAGAAAAUUGAAUCAUUCCAGCAACUGGAGAAAAAGUACCUCUCCUGGACCAGAAUAUCACAGCAGAUUAAGUUGUGCUCAGUUUUGCAGUGAAUAUUCUUGAGAUCAUAUUCUCUGAUCUUGGCCAGCUGAUGCCUGAGUUUCCUGAUGGGACCUGUCAGGACCAUCUUGUCCUGCUUGACCAGCUGCCAUUGGAGAAUUCUGAAGUUUUAAUUUUUUUUAAUAUUUUAUUUACAUAUUUGGCUGCACCAGGUCUUAGCUGCAGCACACGGAAUCUUUGAUUUUCGUUGCAGAAUGUGGGAUCUAUUUCCGCGACCAGAGAGCAAACCCGGGCUCCUUGCAUUGGGUACACAGAGCCUUAGCCACUGGACCACCAGGGAAGUUCCUGAAGUUUUAUUUUUAUAAUAAUAUUUAAUAUGAUUUAAUUGAAAAGUAAAAUAUAUAAAUAAUUCAUCUUUAUUAAAUAAAAAUACUUUUGAUUUAAAAAUUUUAUAUUUA
rnacentral:lncRNA from 1 species